CUGCACAGUGGACCAAACAAAAGAACAAAGAAAAGCUAUAGGCUGUGGCCCAUUGUGUCUCAAGCGAAGAUGGAGAUGAUCAUUCAUGCAUUCAUUUCACCCUCACUCUCCAACCACACAAAGCAUGGUGAUUGUGAGGGACCAAGCAGUAUGGCACAAGGAGUCCCAGAGAGUGAACGAGACCGACACCAGACCAGCUCCCGCCCAGCUGACCAGCUCCCCAGGUCUCCCAAGGACUCACUGGUCCCGG